rnacentral:rRNA from 1 species
UACGUAGGGUGCAAGCGUUGUCCGGAAUUAUUGGGCGUAAAGAGCUCGUAGGCGGUUUGUCGCGUCUGCUGUGAAAGCCCGGGGCUCAACCCCGGGUCUGCAGUGGGUACGGGCAGACUAGAGUGCAGUAGGGGAGACUGGAAUUCCUGGUGUAGCGGUGAAAUGCGCAGAUAUCAGGAGGAACACCGAUGGCGAAGGCAGGUCUCUGGGCUGUUACUGACGCUCAUGCACGAAAGCAUGGGGAGCGAACAGG